rnacentral:tRNA from 2 species
GGCCACGUGGAGAAACGGUAGACUUGCCAUCUUGAGGGGGUGGUGCUCGAAAGGGCGUGUGGGUUCAAAUCCCACCGUGGUCACAA